UGGAUGUCUAUCCAUUCGUCAGUGACUUGCUUGAUGUUACAGUAGUAUGACUGGUCCUUUGACCUGCGGUGCUUCAGCUACUCACAGUGAGGUCAUUGUAGUUUGACUACACGUAUACAUGGUCUCUAGUCAUAUGGAUCCUUGUAGUGUAGAUUGGCUACAGUAAGUUCACUGUAGGAGUAGAGUAUGCACUUACAUGGAAUCUAUCGACCUUGAUAGAAGAGGAGUGAUCCUAUGUGAUUUGUUAGACUGAGUUCUAAGACCUUGGCCAGGGCAGUGAUAUAAAGUGGAGAAAGAGUUUUCCACUAU
rnacentral:lncRNA from 1 species